rnacentral:pre_miRNA from 1 species
CUUUUAGUAUAAAUAUGUCCCAUGCAAUAUUUAGGAUGGACUUAUACUAAAA